rnacentral:rRNA from 1 species
UACGGAGGGAGCUAGCGUUGUUCGGAAUUACUGGGCGUAAAGCGCACGUAGGCGGCUUUGUAAGUUAGAGGUGAAAGCCCGGGGCUCAACUCCGGAACUGCCUUUAAGACUGCAUCGCUUGAAUCCAGGAGAGGUGAGUGGAAUUCCGAGUGUAGAGGUGAAAUUCGUAGAUAUUCGGAAGAACACCAGUGGCGAAGGCGGCUCUCUGGAACGCAACUGACGCUGAGGCGCGAAAGCCAGGGGAGCAAACGGG